UUUGAUCAUGGCUCAGGACGAACGCUGGCGGCGUGCUUAACACAUGCAAGUCGAACGGGACCAGGGGCAACUCUGGUUCAGUGGCGGACGGGUGCGUAACACGUGAGGAACAUGACUUUCGGUGGGGGAUAGCCGGCCCAACGGCCGGGUAAUACCGCGUACGACCAUUUGGGGACAUCCCCGAGUGGUGAAAGCAGCAAUGCGCCGAAAGAGUGCCUCGCGGCCUAUCAGCUAGUUGGUGGGGUAAUGGCUCACCAAGGCAACGACGGGUAGCUGGUCUGAGAGGAUGGCCAGCCACAUUGGGACUGAGACACGGCCCAGACUCCUACGGGAGGCAGCAGUGGGGAAUAUUGCGCAAUGGGCGAAAGCCUGACGCAGCGACGCCGCGUGGGUGAUGAAGGCCUUCGGGUUGUAAAGCCCUGUCGCCUGGGACGAACAAGCUCGUGAAGAACGAGCUCUGACGGUACCAGGAGAGGAAGCACCGGCUAACUCUGUGCCAGCAGCCGCGGUAAUAC
rnacentral:rRNA from 1 species